UACGUAGGGUGCAAGCGUUAAUCGGAAUUACUGGGCGUAAAGCGUGCGCAGGCGGUUUUGUAAGACAGGCGUGAAAUCCCCGGGCUCAACCUGGGAAUGGCGCUUGUGACUGCAAAGCUGGAGUGCGGCAGAGGGGGAUGGAAUUCCGCGUGUAGCAGUGAAAUGCGUAGAUAUGCGGAGGAACACCAAUGGCGAAGGCAAUCCCCUGGGCCUGUACUGACGCUCAUGCACGAAAGCGUGGGGAGCAAACAGG
rnacentral:rRNA from 1 species